AUUGAACGCUGGCGGCAUGCCUUACACAUGCAAGUCGAACGGCAGCAUGGAAGAGCUUGCUCUUCUGAUGGCGAGUGGCGAACGGGUGAGUAAAGCAUCGGAACGUACCGUGUAGUGGGGGAUAACGUAGCGAAAGUUACGCUAAUACCGCAUACGCACUGAGGUGGAAAGCAGGGGAUCGCAAGACCUUGCGCUAUACGAGCGGCCGAUGUCAGAUUAGCUAGUUGGUAGGGUAAAGGCCUACCAAGGCGACGAUCUGUAGCGGGUCUGAGAGGAUGAUCCGCCACACUGGGACUGAGACACGGCCCAGACUCCUACGGGAGGCAGCAGUGGGGAAUUUUGGACAAUGGGGGAAACCCUGAUCCAGCCAUGCCGCGUGAGUGAAGAAGGCCUUCGGGUUGUAAAGCUCUUUCGGCUGGGAAGAAAUCGCACAGGCUAAUACUCUGUGUGGAUGACGGUACCAGCAUAAGAAGCACCGGCUAACUACGUGCCAGCCGCCGCGGUAA
rnacentral:rRNA from 1 species